CAUUGAUUGCCUCCUUAGAUGCCAUAGUAUAUGCCCCCAAAUCUAUGAUGUUAAGAUCUCUCUUUUGUUGUUGGGUUAAAGGCAUGUAUAGGUUGAGAGAAGUGAUGGUCGAAAGGGUUGGUGGAUUGGUGGAUGUAGGCUGCGGUUUAGGCUUGUUUUGUGGCUAUUUUGGGUGCAGUUUGAGGGUGUGGUUUGGUAGAGUUUUAGGGCUAUAGAUGAAAG
rnacentral:lncRNA from 1 species